UGGCUGCUCUGAAAAGCCAUCUUUGCCUUGUUCCCGGUCAGGCUCUCUGCUCGCCUCCACUGCCUCCGCCGACUCCGGCAGCUUUAACGCCAGAGUCCUCGGACUCUCGUGCUCUCCUUAGUCCCUUGCAUCGGAACACCGGCGUGCCCCACCAUGUCAGACGCAGCCGCGGACACCCGCUCCGAGAUCACCACCAAGGACUUAAAGGAGAAGAAGGAAGUUGUGGAGGAGGCGGAAAAUGGAAGAGACGCCCCUGCUGAGGGGAAUGCUAAUGAGGAAAAUGGGGAGCCGGAGGCUGACAAUGAGGUAGAUGAAGAAGAGGAAGAAGGUGGAGAGGAGGAGGAGGGGGAGGAAGAAGAAGGUGAUGGUGAGGAGGAGGAUGGAGAUGAAGAUGAGGAAGCUGAGGCCGCUACCGGCUAACGGGCAGCUGGAGAUGAUGAGGAUGACGAUGUUGAUACUAAGACACAGAAGACCGAUGAGGAUGACUAGACAGCAAGAAAAGUAAAAGUUAAACUAAAAAAAAAAAAAAAGGCCGCCGUGACCUAUUCACCCUCCACUUCCCAUCUCAGAAUCGAAACGUGGUCACCUUCGAGUAGAGAGGCCCGCCGGCGGGCAGCGCCACCCACAGAUGACACAUGCUCUCCACCACCCCACCAAAACCAUGAGAAUUUGCAACAGGGGAGGAAAAAAGAACCCAAACUUCCAAGGCCCUGCUUUUUUUCUUAAAAGUACUUUAAAAAG